rnacentral:rRNA from 1 species
GACAAACGCUGGCGGCGUGCGUAAAACAUGCAAGUCGAACGGGCCCUUCGGGGUCAGUGGCAGACGGCUGAGUAACGCGUAGGAAUCUGCCCCGGUGUGGGGGACAACCUCCCGAAAGGGGGGCUAAUACCGCAUACGGUCCCAUCGUAAGGUGGGAAGAAAGCCCUUGUGGUGCACUGGGAGGAGCCUGCGUCCGAUUAGCUGGUUGGUGGGGUAACGGCCUACCAAGGCGACGAUCGGUAGCUGGUCUGAGAGGAUGAUCAGCCAGACUGGGACUGGGACACGGCCCAGACUCCUACGGGAGGCAGCAGUUAGGAAUUUUGGGCAAUGGCCGCAAGGCUGACCCAGCAACGCCGCGUGGGGGACGAAGGCCUUCGGGUUGUAAACCCCUUUUCCCAGGGACGAUGAUGACGGUACCUGGGGAAUCAGCCCCGGCUAACUACGUGCCAGCAGCCGCAGUAAGAC